rnacentral:rRNA from 1 species
CAUGCCAAUGGCAUUGCCCGGUAGCUAAAUGCGGAAAAGAUAAGUGCUGAAAGCAUCUAAGCACGAAACUUGCCCCGAGAUGAGUUCUCCCUGACUCCUUGAGAGUCCUGAAGGAACGUUGAAGACUACGACGUUGAUAGGUCGGGUGUGUAAGCGCAGCGAUGCGUUGAGCUAACCGAUACUAAUGAACCGUGAGGCUUAACCUUA